GGUAGCAGGAAGUGCUUGCACUUUGCUGACGAGUGGCGGACGGGUGAGUAAUACUUAGGAACAUGCCUUUGUGUGGGGGAUAACCAUUGGAAACGAUGGCUAAUACCGCAUAAUGUCUUUGGACCAAAGAGGGCUUUCGGGCUCUCGCGCAAAGAGUGGCCUAAGUGAGAUUAGCUUGUUGGUGAGGUAAAGGCUCACCAAGGCGACGAUCUCUAGCUGUUCUGAGAGGAAGAUCAGCCACACUGGGACUGAGACACGGCCCAGACUCCUACGGGAGGCAGCAGUGGGGAAUAUUGCACAAUGGGGGCAACCCUGAUGCAGCCAUGCCGCGUGUGUGAAGAAGGCCUUCGGGUUGUAAAGCACUUUCAGUUGUGAGGAAAGGUUGAUGGUUAAUACCCAUCAGCUGUGACGUUAGCAACAGAAGAAGCACCGGCUAACUCCGUGCCAGCAGCCGCGGUAAUACGGAGGGUGCGAGCGUUAAUCGGAAUUACUGGGCGUAAAGCGCGCGUAGGCGGCUUUGCAAGUAGGGGGUGAAAUCCCGGGGCUUAACCCCGGAACUGCCCUCUAAACUGCAGAGCUAGAAUCCUGGAGAGGUGAGUGGAAUUCCUAGUGUAGAG
rnacentral:rRNA from 1 species